rnacentral:lncRNA from 1 species
UAACGGAGUCUAACACCCCGACUGAGGCUGAAUCGCACCAGAGCCAGUGUUAGUCAAGCUUCGACUGAGGAAUGCCCAAAACAUUUCAACCAGACAUGGAGGCAUACAUGGAGACCUAACCAACUUAAGAGUCUUUGUGUGUGGAAGGAAUACAACUGCUGCCUCAGUAGACCAACCACACCAAGAAUAUGUGAAGGGAAUCAUGUUUCCAUUUUGCAGAUGGGAAAUGGAGACUAAAUGGUUUUGUCAUUGGUUCCAGCUCAGAAGCCACCAACCUUUAGGAGAGUUAAGAGAAUUUUCAGCUGGUCCUGAGGAGACUCCCGUCCACACAUGGCUUGUUUAAAUGCGUCAGCAUGCUCUGUGUAUACUGCAUCAAGGUCUACAGUUGCUGACCACUGCUUUGAUUAUCUCACUGUAGCACAUAAUGUUUCAUACCCAGAGACUGUAUUCCAGCAAGCCCCUAAAUUGUAUUUGGACAAAGAAUAAUUGAACACUGGACAGAAUAACAAAUGCUAUGGUCAAGUUUGCUUCAUGGGUUUAUCGUGUUGUAUUAACAUGAUAGAAAUAUGAAUACUUAAAUCUUAUCUCAGGUAUAGUUUAUAACUGCAUUAAUCAUUUAUUGUAUUAUAUAUUUUUCAUGUCACUAAGAUUGUGAGGAAAAGAUUCAAUUUUCCCAGUGCAGUCAGUUGAAUGUGGUUUAGAUAAGUUAAAGGCGUU